GUUCUUGUAGUUGAAGGUACAACGGUGGCUCUUCAAGCCAUUGGUCCUGGAUAGAAGCCGGGUGAGAAUU
rnacentral:tRNA from 1 species